rnacentral:rRNA from 1 species
AGAGUUUGAUCCUGGCUCAGGACGAACGCUGGCGGCGUGCCUAACACAUGCAAGUCGAGCGGAGAUGAUAGCAAUAUCGUCUUAGCGGCGGUCUUAGCGGCGGACGGGUGAGUAACGCGUGGGCAACCUGCCUUUAUCUGGGGGAUAACAUCGGGAAACCGGUGCUAAUACCGCAUAACAUCGCACUUCCGCAUGGGAGAGCGAUCAAAGGAGCAAUCCGGAUAGAGAUGGGCCCGCGUCCGAUUAGAUAGUUGGUGGGGUAAUGGCCUACCAAGUCGACGAUCGGUAGCCGGACUGAGAGGUUGAUCGGCCACAUUGGGACUGAGAUACGGCCCAGACUCCUACGGGGGGCAGCAGUGGGGAAUCUUCCGCAAUGGGCGAAAGCCUGACGGAGCAACGCCGCGUGUAUGAUGAAGGUCUUCGGGUAAACUUCUUUGACCGGGGACGAAACAAAUGACGGUACCCGGAAAACAAGCCACGGCUAACUACGUGCCAGCAGCCGCGGUAAUACGUAGGUGGCGAGCGUUGUCCGGAAUUACUGGGUGUAAAGAAUGCGUAGGUGGAUAUUUAAGUGGGAUGUGAAAUCCCCGGGCUCAACCCGGGAACUGCAUCGGAAACUGGACAUCUUGAGUGCAGGAGAGGAAAGCGGAAUUCCUAGUGUAGCGGUGAAAUGCGUAGAUAUUAGGAGGAACACCAGUGGCGAAGGCGGCUUUCUGGACUGUAACUGACACUGAGGCACGAAAGCGUGGGGAGCAAACAGGAUUAGAUACCCUGGUAGUCCACGCGGUAAACGAUGGAUACUAGGUGUCGGGGGUAUCGACCCCCUCGGUGCCACAGCUAACGCAAUAAGCACUCCGCCUGGGGAGUACGGUCGCAAGACUGAAACUCAAAGGAAUUGACGGGGGCCCGCACAAGCGGUGGAGUAUGUGGUUUAAUUCGACGCAACGCGAAGAACCUUACCAAGGCUUGACAUCCUGUGACGUCUAUGGAAACAUAGAGUCUCUUCGGAGGAAGUGAGACAGGUGGUGCAUGGUUGUCGUCAGCUCGUGUCGUGAGAUGUUGGGUUAAGUCCCGCAACGAGCGCAACCCCUGUUGCUAGUUGCCAGCACGUAAUGGUGGGAACUCUAGCAGAACUGCCGUUGACAAAACGGAGGAAGGUGGGGAUGACGUCAAAUCAUCAUGCCCCUUAUGUCUUGGGCUACACACGUGCUACAAUGGCCGGUACAGACGGAAGCGAAGCCGCGAGGUGAAGCAAAUCCGAGAAAGCCGGUCUCAGUUCGGAUUGCAGGCUGCAACUCGCCUGCAUGAAGUCGGAAUCGCUAGUAAUCGCAGGUCAGCAUACUGCGGUGAAUACGUUCCCGGGCCUUGUACACACCGCCCGUCACACCACGAAAGUCUGCAACACCCGAAGCCGGUGAGGUAACCCGUAAGGGAGCUAGCCGUCGAAGGUGGGGCCGAUGAUUGGGGUGAAGUCGUAACAAGGUAACC